rfam:Schistosoma margrebowiei strain Zambia genome assembly, scaffold: SMRZ_contig0002005
AUCCGGAUGACGAGUCCCAAAUAGGCCGAAACGGGCGUCUUGUAU